rnacentral:rRNA from 1 species
AGAGUUUGAUCCUGGCUCAGGAUGAACGCUGGCGGCGUGCCUAAUACAUGCAAGUCGAGCGAACGGACGAGAAGCUUGCUUCUCUGAUGUUAGCGGCGGACGGGGGAGUAACACGUGGAUAACCUACCUAUAAGACUGGGAUAACUUCGGGAAACCGGAGCUAAUACCGGAUAAUAUUUUGAACCGCAUGGUUCAAAAGUGAAAGACGGUCUUGCUGUCACUUAUAGAUGGAUCCGCGCUGCAUUAGCUAGUUGGUAAGGUAACGGCUUACCAAGGCAACGAUGCAUAGCCGACCUGAGAGGGUGAUCGGCCACACUGGAACUGAGACACGGUCCAGACUCCUACGGGAGGCAGCAGUAGGGAAUCUUCCGCAAUGGGCGAAAGCCUGACGGAGCAACGCCGCGUGAGUGAUGAAGGUCUUCGGAUCGUAAAACUCUGUUAUUAGGGAAGAACAUAUGUGUAAGUAACUGUGCACAUCUUGACGGUACCUAAUCAGAAAGCCACGGCUAACUACGUGCCAGCAGCCGCGGUAAUACGUAGGUGGCAAGCGUUAUCCGGAAUUAUUGGGCGUAAAGCGCGCGUAGGCGGUUUUUUAAGUCUGAUGUGAAAGCCCACGGCUCAACCGUGGAGGGUCAUUGGAAACUGGAAAACUUGAGUGCAGAAGAGGAAAGUGGAAUUCCAUGUGUAGCGGUGAAAUGCGCAGAGAUAUGGAGGAACACCAGUGGCGAAGGCGACUUUCUGGUCUGUAACUGACGCUGAUGUGCGAAAGCGUGGGGAUCAAACAGGAUUAGAUACCCUGGUAGUCCACGCCGUAAACGAUGAGUGCUAAGUGUUAGGGGGUUUCCGCCCCUUAGUGCUGCAGCUAACGCAUUAAGCACUCCGCCUGGGGA